GUUUGACACGGCCCCACGGUGUCCAGUCUGGGCCCGACGUUUGGCCGUGGUGCGAUGAC
rnacentral:ncRNA from 1 species